UAAAUUUCGGAGGGAGAAGAUGCUACGUAGGAGAGAAGCAGUGGAGAGCGGCCAGCGGACAACCUUAGAUCUUGAGUCUGCAGCCAAUAUUCUACUCACUUACUGGCUUAGGCAGGGUGAGAAAUCCCCUCUGGAAUCCAUAAGGUUCAUUAUUCUGCAGCUACUACUGUAAAGGAGCACAAAGCAAACUGACAAUGUGGUGCGGCUAAUUUUUCAUUUGUGACCCUGUGACAUAACAACAAUUCAGCAGGAAGCUGGAGCUACACUAGAAAACGAAGUACAUUUAAUUGCCACAUGUCGCUGACCUGCUGGCAGAUCUCACCAUGAGGACAGAUCUCUUAUGUCACAGGAUCCAAAGCGAUCACUAUAUAGUGACGCAGAAGCUCACUGUACAGAUACAGUUAAAGGGACAGUCUACCUGAAAAUGUUUAUUGUUUAAAAAGAUAAUCCCUUUAUUACCCAUUCCCCAGUUUUGCAUAACUAACACAGUUAUAAUAAUAUACUUUUUACCUCUGUGAUUACCUUGUACCUUUGCAGACUGCCCCCUUAUUUCAGUUCUUUCGACAAACUUGCAUUUUAGCCAAUCCGUGCUGACUCAACUCCAUGGGAGUGAGCACAAUGUUAUCUAUAUGGCACAGAUGAACUAGCACUGUCUAACUGUUAGACGCUAAUAAAAUGUACUGAGAUAAGAGAUGGCCUUCAAGGGCAUAUGAGCCUUCCUAGGUUUAGCCUUCAACUAAGAAUACUACGAGUACAAAGCAAAUUUUAUGAUUAAAGUAAAUAGUUGUUUAAAAUUGCAUGCCCCAUCUGAACCAUGAAAGUUUCAUUCUGACUUUACUCUUCCUUUAAUCAUUUAGAGGUGCAGGGUCAUUCCAUGCAGACAAAUCAGGGUUUAGCCGUACAGAUUCCCAUCAUGCACCCGGGUAUUCAGUUUAGCAUCUGAGGCACACGAUAACACAGACAGCAUAUAUAGAAACCAAAGCAGACAUUGCUGGAUCACAGUCCGUGCUGUCAGUCAGCCGCCUCACACCCAGAGAGCCGAGUCUGUACCCUGGGACACAAGCCAGGCCUCCUCUUGCAGAAUAUUUAUGAAAAAGGCUCAGGAUUACAUAGCAAACAGAUGUUACCAGUUAAAAAACUGAUGGGGGAAAAGAGAUAAAGGCUCAAAAUAUAUUUAACCCUUUCCAUGCAAUAAAGGGCUUUAAUAAACAGAGGUUUUGGCUCUGCAGGAGUUCCACUUGCUUUGCUGUCUGUCCUGACCACUACAACAAGUUAGGAACAGCUGCAGCCUUCAGACAGACAGCAACAGCAGCUUAAAGGGACAGUCUGAGCUCCUGCCAUCCAGCCCCAAAUAACAAAUAAGCAAAGGUACCAGAGAAACAUCAGACAAGAAUAUGGUUGUAAAAAUACUAUUGGUUAAAGAGAAAUUGAUGCCAAAAUAAAACAUUUAUGAAUCAGAUAUUUAAAAACAAAA